GAUCUCGUAGCUCAGUUGGUAGAGCAUUUGACUUUUAAUCAAAGGGUCGCGCGUUCGAGCCGCGCCGAGAUCA
rnacentral:tRNA from 1 species